GUGGGGAAUAUUGGACAAUGGGCGAAAGCCUGAUCCAGCCAUGCCGCGUGUGUGAAGAAGGUCUUCGGAUUGUAAAGCACUUUAAGUUGGGAGGAAGGGCAGUAAGUUAAUACCUUGCUGUUUUGACGUUACCGACAGAAUAAGCACCGGCUAACUUCGUGCCAGCAGCCGCGGUAAUACGAAGGGUGCAAGCGUUAAUCGGAAUUACUGGGCGUAAAGCGCGCGUAGGUGGUUUUGUAAGUUGGAGGUGAAAUCCCCGGGCUCAACCUGGGAACUGCCUCCAAAACUGCAUGACUAGGGUACGGUAGAGGGUAGUGGAAUUUCCUGUGUAGCGGUGAAAUGCGUAGAUAUAGGAAGGAACACCAGUGGCGAAGGCGACUACCUGGACUGAUACUGACACUGAGGUGCGAAAGCGUGGGGAGCAAACAGGAUUAGAUACCCGUGUAGUCC
rnacentral:rRNA from 1 species